GAGGUGAUAGCCGCUCGCGAUCCUUCUCUGGGCGUUCUCUUGUUCUAAUUGAUUGACGAGAUUCAUGUGCGGUCGCGUGGUGGUAGGUCGCCAUGCCGCCGGCUGACCGGGCUGGGCUGGGAUUGAUUGACGGGGCGCUGCUAUUUUAGUUUGGUUAUUACAGUAGGAUUCUGCAUAUGGUCUUCUUGUCUGUCUGUCUGUCAUAUACAGUAGUACUAGUUUGUUUAGUCAGUUAGAUUAGAUUGGAUCAUGGGUCUGGAAGUUGGGACCUGGGAGUCUGGACAUUGCGCCUUGUAAGUUGCUGUAUUUCUUGGUUAGGCGGCACAAGCGUGCGUGUCCUAGUUUUUUUGUUCAAAGGGCCGCCCUGUUUUGGCGUUCCAGAGCAUGAUUGGUUGAUUACCAUUUGUUUGGCCAACCUCACAAACUAUUGGGUGGAAUCAAGUGACAAGGUUUUGUUUGGAUGUUGCACCUUGUGUGUGCCCCAAUUCUUUGCUUGUUUGUUUGUGUGUGAUCUUUAGAGAUCACUUUUUUGGUGUGAUCUCUAGAGACAUCAACAAUUCUUUGCUAGUUUUGUUGCUUCAGACUCGAGGUUUUGUGUGUGAUCUCUGGAUAACAUAUUUUGGUUGUUUGUGUGUGAUCUCUAGAGAACAUGAUAGAAGCAAACGGUCUCUUGGAGUACAUAAGAAGCGCAAGUUGCGGUGAAUCUGAAACAGCCUAAAUCAGAUGACUUGCGUUGCUAUAGUGAUGUCUCACAUCGCAUUGUAUUGUUUCUAAUUGGUUAUCAAUUAUUUGGAGGUCUCUCAUUGUCCAUCAAUCCUAUCUGUUCUCGCACCAAGAAAUUGGUUAUCAAUUACUCCCUCCGUCCCAAAAAGUUUGUCACUCAAAUGGAUGUAUCGGGAGUACUACACAUACAUGAUCACUAGUUUGAGAAGUUGCCUGUUAGCAUAUGGAUCAAGGAUAGGACAAAAUAUGUAUAUACUGGAACCAAGACUAUUUUCUCUCUCGGAUAAGCUGUAUAUGCAACACUGUGAGUUGUGAUUACCAUGACUAUAUGGCUAAUACAGAUAAUUAAGGAUCAAGACAGUUUGGCCGAGUGGUCUAAGGCGCCAGAUUUAGGCUCUGGUCCAAAAGGGCGUGGGUUCAAAUCCCACAGCUGUCAAACUUUUUUUUUUCAAUGUACCUUUUAUUUUUCUCCUUCUGUAAAUCCACGAAUCUUGUAGAAGUGCACUAAUCAUUACUAAAUUAGAUUAUGCACCUUGGAGUUGGGACCUGGGAGUCUGGACGUUGCGCCUUGUAAGUUGCUGUAUUUCUUGGUUAGUAGGCACAAGCAUGCGUGUUAUUGUGAUUUGUGAUAUCCUAGGUUUUUGCUAAAAGGGCUGCUCUGUUUUGGCGUUCCAGAGCAUGAUUGGUGACUGAUUACCAUUUGUUUGGCCAACCUCACGAAAAGUUGCCCUUUUUUGGCCAACAAAUUGUCUGGCCAUUUCUUAUUUGUUGAUAAUGAUUUUCGUGAUUGUAGAAACGAGAUUUGAUUGAAAUCGUGACGGGGAUUGUUUUGAGUGCAGUCG
rnacentral:lncRNA from 1 species